rnacentral:rRNA from 1 species
GAUGAACGCUGGCGGCGUGCCUAACACAUGCAAGUCGAGCGAUUCUCUUCGGAGAAGAGCGGCGGACGGGUGAGUAACGCGUGGGUAACCUGCCCUGUACACACGGAUAACAUACCGAAAGGUAUGCUAAUACGAGAUAAUAUGCUUUUAUCGCAUGGUAGAAGUAUCAAAGCUUUUGCGGUACAGGAUGGAACCGCGUCUGAUUAGCUAGUUGGUAAGGUAACGGCUUACCAAGGCGACGAUCAGUAGCCGACCUGAGAGGGUGAGCGGGCACAUUGUACCUGAGGCACGGUCCAAACUCCUACGGUAGGCAGCAGUGGGGAAUAUUGCACAAUGUGCGAAAGCCUGAUGCAGCAACGCCGCGUGAGCGAUUAAGGCCUUCGGGUCGUAAAGAUCUGUCCUCAAGGAAGAUAAUGACGGUACUUGAGGAGGAAGCCCCGGCUAACUACGUGCCAGCAGCCGCCGCCG